UGAGUAACACGUAUCCAACCUGCUGCCUACUCUUGGACAGCCUUCUGAAAGGAAGAUUAAUACAAGAUGGCAUCAUGAGUCCGCAUGUUCACAUGAUUAAAGGUGUUCCGGUAGACGAUGGGGAUGCGUUCCAUUAGAUAGUAGGCGGGGUAACGGCCCACCUAGUCUUCGAUGGAUAGGGGUUCUGAGAGGAAGGUCCCCCACAUUGGAACUGAGACACGGUCCAA
rnacentral:rRNA from 1 species